rnacentral:lncRNA from 1 species
CCGGUCCCAGAGCCAAAACCUUAAAAUUUAAUUUUCGUCCAGAAUUUUCAGAAAUUUUAUAUAAUAUCCUCAACAUAUCCAACAUCAAAAAUACACAAUAUCCAUCCCCAAAUACUUCCAAUAAAAUUUCAUAAAUAAAUUUUGAAAAAUCAAUCUCAAAGAUAUUCAAUUUGUCAAACAUUGUUGAUCUGAAAAUCAAAUAAAAUUCUUGAUAAGUAUCAAAUAAAAUUCCACACAUCAUGCAAGAUCUAGGGAUUAAUUGUAUCGUUUUAUCAUCAUAUUUGUUAAGAAAUUGAAUAAAUAAAUUUCAUAAUCAUGAAAUUAAAAGAAUAUUCUCAAUUUGAGUUAUGCACAUAAUUCGAGAUAGGAGUGGCUCUUUGAGCAUCUUUUAACAAACCACCUUAUAUCGCCUAGGAGAUGUAUUAACCAUAUUAUUAGAAUUUUACCAUCUCCACAACAUCUCAUAUUUAUUUAUUCUUUAUUGCCAUUUA